AGUGAACGCUGGCGGUAGACCUAACACAUGCAAGUCGAACGGCAGCACAGUAAGAGCUUGCUCUUACGGGUGGCGAGUGGCGGACGGGUGAGGAAUACAUCGGAAUCUACUUUUUCGUGGGGGAUAACGUAGGGAAACUUACGCUAAUACCGCAUACGUCCUACGGGUGAAAGCAGGGGAUCUUCGGACCUUGCGCGAUUGAAUGAGCCGAUGUCGGAUUAGCUAGUUGGCGGGGUAAAGGCCCACCAAGGCGACGAUCCGUAGCUGGUCUGAGAGGAUGAUCAGCCACACUGGAACUGAGACACGGUCCAGACUCCUACGGGAGGCAGCAGUGGGGAAUAUUGGACAAUGGGCGCAAGCCUGAUCCAGCCAUACCGCGUGGGUGAAGAAGGCCUUCGGGUUGUAAAGCCCUUUUGUUGGGAAAGAAAAGCAGCAGGUUAAUACCCCGCUGUUCUGACGGUACCCAAAGAAUAAGCACCGGCUAACUUCGUG
rnacentral:rRNA from 1 species